GCCUGGCUGGCUCAGUCAGGAGAGCAUGCGACUCUUGAUCUCAGGGUUGUGAGUUCAAGCCCCACAUUGGGCG
rfam:Ailuropoda melanoleuca scaffold530_167, whole genome shotgun sequence.